CCCCAAGAAAGUUAUCUCGUGCAAUUGUGACUUACCACCCAAUUGCGUAAUGUAUGUCCUUUUCUUAGUGAUCAUCUUAUGGUGUGUCUACCUAUUCAAUACAACUACUUAUGUGACAGAUACAAUUGGUUUGACAGCCUAAUUGCCUUAGGUGAGUAAAAGGCAAUUACCUGUUAUGGUCCCUGGAUACGAUGCCUCCGUAUCUUCUUCUCAUGGGAUUAGACUUGAAAGAGGAGUGGCUCUCUCUGAAUCCUCUCAAUCGAUCUUCUCUCUCCUCAUCUCACUUAUAUCUCCGAUUGCUGACACUAGUAUUGUCGUAAUAUAGGGAUGUAAUCCUUUUCCCUUUCCAUAGUACAGGGCUUAGAUGGAAUCUCGAUCUGAAUGUACUCGCUCUCCAACUAUCUAUGGUAGGCUUGCCCCUACCCUAAAAUGGAAUUUGAAUAUCCCAGAGAAAGAGAGCUCUGUAAGCUAGGAAAAGGCUUCUCGUUGAUUGUGGAAAUGUUGUCACU
rnacentral:lncRNA from 1 species